UGGGGAAUAUUGCACAAUGGGGGAAACCCUGAUGCAGCAACGCCGCGUGAAGGAUGAAGGUUUUCGGAUUGUAAACUUCUUUUGUACGGGACGAAACAAAUGACGGUACCGUAAGAAUAAGCCACGGCUAACUACGUGCCAGCAGCCGCGGUAAUACGUAGGUGGCGAGCGUUAUCCGGAUUUACUGGGUGUAAAGGGCGAGUAGGCGGGAUUGUAAGUCAGAUGUGAAAUCUGGGGGCUCAACUCCCAAACUGCAUUUGAAACUAUAAUUCUUGAGUGAUGGAGAGGCAGGCGGAAUUCCCGGUGUAGCGGUGGAAUGCGUAGAUAUCGGGAGGAACACCAGUGGCGAAGGCGGCCUGCUGGACAUUAACUGACGCUGAGGAGCGAAAGCGUGGGGAGCAAACA
rnacentral:rRNA from 1 species